rnacentral:piRNA from 1 species
UUCAUUUUUUGAGCCCGUCUC